rnacentral:rRNA from 1 species
CUCCGGGUGAUCCCUGCCGGACCCGACUGCUAUCAGAGUGGGACUAAGCCAUGCGAGUCGACGUAGCAAUGCGUGGCGAACGGCUCAGUAACACGUAGUCAACAUGCCCAGGGGACGUGGAUAACCUCGGGAAACUGAGAAUAAACCACGAUAGGUCACGAUUUCUGGAAUGGAUCAUGGCCUAAAUCUACAUGGCCCCUGGAUUGGACUGCGGCCGAUCAGGCUGUUGGUGAGGUAAUGGCCCACCAAACCUAUAACCGGUACGGGCUCUGAGAGGAGAAGCCCGGAGAUGGGCACUGAGACAAGGGCCCAGGCCCUAUGGGGCGCAGCAGGCGCGAAACCUCUGCAAUAGGCGAAAGCCUGACAGGGUUACUCUGAGUGAUUUCCGCUAAGGGGAUCUUUUGGCACCUCUAAAAAUGGUGCAGAAUAAGGGGUGGGCAAGUCUGGUGUCAGCCGCCGCGGUAAUACCAGCACCCCGAGUGGUCGGGACGAUUAUUGGGCCUAAAGCAUCCGUAGCCGGUUCUGCAAGUCUUCCGUUAAAUCCAGCCGCUCAACGGAUGGGCCGCGGAGGAUACUACAGGACUAGGAGGCGGGAGAGGCAAGCGGUACUCAGUGGGUAGGGGUAAAAUCCUUUGAUCCAUUGAAGACCACCAGUGGCGAAGGCGGCUUGCCAGAACGCGCUCGACGGUGAGGGAUGAAAGCUGGGGGAGCAAACCGGAUUAGAUACCCGGGUAGUCCCAGCUGUAAACGAUGCAGACUCGGUGAUGGGCUAGCCUUGUGCCAGCCCAGUGCCGCAGGGAAGCCGUUAAGUCUGCCGCCUGGGGAGUACGGUCGCAAGACUGAAACUUAAAGGAAUUGGCGGGGGAGCA